UGGAUAAAGAUAAUUGAGUUUAUUCUACUC
rnacentral:piRNA from 1 species